UAGAGAAGGCCUAUACAGUUUGUAAAAAAAAAGCUUUGACAAAGCAUCGUCCUUAAGAAGUGUACAUUAUAGGUGAAUGUAUCACAUCAGUAAUAACGAAAAAACGAAGAAAAAACCUACACAGAGCGAAAUUGUUAUAUCAGGGAUUGUGCGGAUUUAGGAUUCAUUCGUGCGUAUUUAUCAAUGUAUCAAUGGAUUUGCGUUGGUUACAUUAUUUAAGCCUACUUUGCGCGGAUGACGAACUUCAGCGUACGUCGACGGUGUCUUAAUCAUUCGGAGGGGGAGUUUGUGAUUCACGAUGAUGUGGAGGCGAAUGCAGGCGAUCAUUCCGGAGAACAGAUGCGGAUGUCUGUUAUCAAGUUCAAUUGUGAAUCAUGAUUACGGUUCUAAAACCAUACAGGCCUACUAUCAUUUCCUAGCCUUAGGUACGUGAUUGGCAGUUUGUUGAGAAAAAGUUUGGAACUCGCCUGGCCUAUUCAUGCACGCUACUGGUCAGCGUUCGAAUGAAAAUAAUAAUUAUGUGAUUUCUUGGUGGUACGGAUCAUUUAGUAGACGUGUUGUGGGCGAGUUAAUGAAGAAGGAUGAUAAUACGUUGACAUUUCGGAUGAUAUGGCUAACAGCGUUCAAUCGAUCCGUCACUGCCAUAUUACUCAUCCCCUUCAACAUUUCCAAAAAUGGUGUGAAUUAAAACGUACUACCUCCCAAUCGUCAUCGCCAUGGUUUCGAGCAAAGUUACUCAUGGUACACAGGGGACUGCGUAUUUUAUGUUGCUGGUUAGCUUUCUUUUCGGAAAGUAUUGAUUUUGUAAGGGAUACUGUGGCACGAGUAGAUAAUUGAGAAGCACAACUACGCGGACCGUCCCUGGGAUCUGGCUUAACGCAGCCUGAUGAGAAAGUUUUCUUUAAUUCCCGUCACCGUCACGGAAAGUGGGUCAGAUUUAACUUUGAACUUACUCUUCAAUUUGAAGCAGCAAAGCAUCGCCUGAUUGCCCGUGACAGAGCAGGAAGGCAGUCGGGCUCAACAGAUGUCAUCCGGUGACAGACUGAUAAUUCUGAGGCAAAUGAAAUUGAUUUAAAAAUGUCUGCGUUUAUAAACCAUCAACCAAAACUAAAACGUUCGCCUCGGACGUUAUAAUAUUUAUUGCGAUUGCAUUCAAUCGAGUCUGCAGUUGGGCCCGUGCAAGAACUUACUAAAUAAUUCAGGUGUGGUGACAACGGAUUUACGCAUUACAAGCAUUUCGUUUUUCCCGCUUCGUCGUUAAGUCUUGUCAGGAGACGCCACCGCGCUGUCUUUUCAAAACAUGGAUUAAAUAGAUUCCCACGGAAUUCAAAGCAUGAAGUAGGUUGAGCCGGUAAACCUAUACACCAAAGCGAAUACUCAACAUUCCAAGUACCUGCCCUUUACCCGCCGUUGUUAAGGCCGAAAUCGAUAGUCUACAAUGAUCUUGUUUUGGCGCGAAAAUUCUUGUAUACAGUAGUUUCCUUGACCCGACAAGUUGUCUGGGUCACACGUUACGAAACUAUACUUCAGGUGCACGCUUCGGACGGAUUUGCUUUUGUAAUGAAUUAUUGAUAUCGGCAAACGAUUGCGCUUGCCCCAAAGCGGUCUAAAUUCCCAGCGGGAGGGCCAGACAUGAGUUUGGAGCAAAUUCUUUGUUCCAGUUCCUCCUUCUGUUAUGGAUCUUGGAAAAGUAUUAUGAGGUAAAUCAUGGGCUUUCGGUGUACGUAACACAACAAUAAUUUGGCGGGAACCAACGCGAUUUAUACCUCCUUGAAGAAACAUGAAUAAAGGUAACCCACAUCUCACUAAUGGUUCUGCAUAACCUUCUAAGCUUACAGCCCACAUUUAAUGGUAAAAAAAAUGUGGAAUAUAUUUCACAAAGUAACAAAGUAAAAAGUAGCUCCAUGCUGCAAGUGACAAAAUUAAGUUGGAUUAAACACAGACAAUGUUCAUUUUCUUGAACCAAUAGGUAAAUAAUCACCCAUCUUAAUUAAGUUCUAAAAAAGUUUUGAAGUCGAAUCAAUGAAAACCUGGGAAUAGUGACUCUGUUAGCAACGUAGAUGAUUUCUCCACAUCAGUCUUUUAAAUGUUAUGUACGUAAGCAUACUUUUAUCAUAGAGAAAACUGUUCCAUUUUCUCUAUGCUUUUAUAAACUUAAAUACACACAUCAUUUGUUUAUAAGUUAUAGACAAUAUAACAUAACAUAAUGUAUUUAAAAAUGUGUUUUGUAAGAGCCCACAGAUGUUACAUCAUCUCUCAUCUAAACAAUGGGGAAUGGAACUAAAGCACAUAGGCUAUCAUAUUAUUUACUUUUCUCUAUUUAUUUAACAAUAUUGAAAUGACACAAAUCUACAUUACUCAACAUUUUUGUAAACAUAUGUAACAUUUAUUUAAAAAAAAAAGUUUUCCAAGAUAGGAUAAACUAAAGUAAAAUCCAUUAUUACCAGGAUUAACAAACAAUACUUCUUUGGGUUAGCCUAAUCCACUGUUAAUCUUUUAUCUUGAAUCAAAUUUAAACUAAAUUCAAGUAUUAAGAUCAUGCAAUGAUACAACACUUUAAGUACAGAAGUGUCAAUUGAUAUUGCAGCAUUAUAAUACCUUUAUGUAAACAACACACAUAACUUACACAGGUGAACAUUUUACCUUUCCUUACCUGAUCCUUCAUGAAAAAUUAUUUACAUCCAGUGCUUCUCCAAUUUCUGUUCUAACUACACUUACCAUUUAAACCCGGGAAUGAAAGAUUUUAACAAAAAUAAUAAGUACCCAGUAUCCAAUAAUUGUAUGACUUGUGUUCAGUGUCACAAAAUAUUGCCACAUUUUUAGUAUUUGUAUGUAAAUUUUGUAUUUUAUUCUAAUAAGAAAUAAAAGACGGCAGUGGUAAAACUUGGUGGCACGCCUCCCUAAAUCUGCCAUGAUGAUAAAUAGUAAUAAAUAUAUGAUUAUUUUCACUGUAUAGAAAUGCUCAAAGGGCCCACAUAAUGAUGGAGUAGGCCUACUGUUACAUAUACCACGCAGUGACCAAGUUCAGUUUACCUUAGUUUCUCAUAAGCAGGGUUCACCUACUUAAGUUCAUACAUCCUCUCAUUUGCAGAUUACUCAUUUCAAAGUAUCAUAUCCUUUGUACAUUACUAAAGUGAAAUAAAUAUCACAACAUGAUCUAAGUGAACCUGGUAAUGAAAGUAGCAAAAUCACUCAAGACAUGCUCAGAUGAACCCUACUUCCUUGCAUAUCAUUUGCACCCUAUUAUACCUCCACGCUCAUACCAUAGAGAAAAUAGAACUAUUCUAUUUUCUCUAUGCUCAUACUUAGCAAACAUGAAUGUUCCUAAAGAUUAGAACUACCGUACCAAGAAUUUAGAGAGAAUCUUUGACAUCUUUUUCUUCCUCCGUAGAAACUGACACCCAUUGGCACAAAGACCCACAUUUUCUCUCUUACUUCUAUACAUCUAUAAAAAAAAAGAUAAAAUAUUCUCUAUAAAAAUAUUUGCAUUUUACUAUUGACAUAGGUUGCUGAUAUAUACAGUAUUAGGCUCUCUCCAGACUAUUGACAUUUCUUCGACAAAAAACUGUAGGUAUGCCCAUAUAUAGUCAUGAUGUGCCUAUUAUGGUCAUGAUGUGAUGUCAUCAUGACCAUAUUUAGGCAUGUCACACAUUUUUGUGAAAUAAAAUUUGAUAGUCUGGACAGGCCUUUAGGAAAGGAAAGUGAUAUGGUUGUAAUCGGCUUAAACCCUCUACUGUCCCUUUAAGUUAAAGGGACAGUAGAGGGGCACAUCACACAGUAGAUAGAUCCUGCAGCUUGAACCAUGAUUCAGAACACUCGCCGUACAGUGUCCACAUGGCCUCAGCCCCCAUGGUUGGUCCUGAGGCACAAAAUUUUAUUUAAGGCACUUCUAGAUGAUGGCAUUCUCAGACUAAAAAAUGUUGUUCCCAUUUAAAAAAAUUUAAGGUGGGGAUUGGGGGAAGAACCUGGCCUGGCUGCCACCGGCUGGUGUGUUGUGGCAAUUUUCUUUAACAAUAAAAGAAGCUUCCGCUUUUCUUUAUUUUAUCCAAAAACCUAUACAACAAAUGUAAAAUCUUGGGAGUGCAGCCAAAUAAAGGAAAAUAUGUUUUAAAAAAACCCAGAACAUAUUUGUUGUAUGACUUCAUCCUUCUUCAAUUUUUUUUACCAAAAAAACUAUACAACAAAACAAUUGAGUAGUUAUGAACAAACUUUUCUCUUGGAGGUGCAGCCAAGAACUUGAAAACAUUUUUGUUGUAUGAAAAAAAAAAAAGAAAGAAAGAAAAUCCAUACCAAAGGUUGUGCACAAACAUUUUCUCUUGAAAGGUGUGGCCAAAAAGAAAACAUGUUUGUUGUAUGGCUUUAUUCUUCUCUUUAUCUUAUCAAAAAACACAAACUAAAAAUUAGGGUGUUGCCAUGAACAAAUAUUUUCUUUGAGGUGUGACAAAAAAAAAAC